rnacentral:misc_RNA from 1 species
AACCUUAUGGACCUGCGGGCGUAUACCUGCGGAAGGAUCAUUACCGAGUUUUCAACUCCCUAACCCUUCUGUGAACCUACCUAUCGUUGCUUCGGCGGACUCGCCCCAGCCCGGACGCGGACUGGACCAGCGGCCCGCCGGGGACCUCAAACUCUUGUAUUCCAGCAUCUUCUGAAUACGCCGCAAGGCAAAACAAAUGAAUCAAAACUUUCAGCAACGGAUCUCAGAUCGGAAGAGCAC